CUUGCUCUGUGGGUGGCGAGUGGCGGACGGGUGAGGAAUACGUGGGAAUCUGCCCAGUCGUGGGGGAUAACGUAGGAACUUACGCUAAUACCGCAUGCGCCCUUCGGGGGAAAGCCGGGGACCUUCGGGCCUGGCGCGAUUGGAUGAGCCCACGUCGGAUUAGCUAGUUGGCGGGGUAAAGGCCCACCAAGGCGACGAUCCGUAGCUGGGUCUGAGAGGAUGAUCAGCCACACUGGAACUGAGACACGGUCCAGACUCCUACGGGAGGCAGCAGUAGGGAAUAUUGGACAAUGGGCGCAAGCCUGAUCCAGCCAUGCCGCGUGAGUGAAGAAGGCCCUCGGGUUGUAAAGCUCUUUUGUCCGGAAAGAAAAGCGCCGGGUUAAUACCCUGGUGUCCUGACGGUACCGGAAGAAUAAGCACCGGCUAACUUCGUG
rnacentral:rRNA from 1 species